rnacentral:rRNA from 1 species
ACUCCUACGGGAGGCAGCAGUGAGGAAUCUUCCACAAUGGACGCAAGUCUGAUGGAGCGACACCGCGUGAAGGAUGAAGGUCUAACGAUUGUAAACUUCUUUUCUGGGGAGGCAUAAUAGAGAGUACUCCCAGGAAUAAGGGACGGCUAAUUACGUGCCAGCAGCCGCGGUAAUACGUAAGUCUCAAGCGUUAUCCGGAAUUACUGGGUGUAAAGGGUUUGUAGGCGGACAUUUAAGUCAGGUAUGAAAGACCGGAGCUCAACUCCGAGUUUGUGCUUGAAACUGGAUGACUAGAAUUAGGGAGAGGUAAGCGGAAUUCUAAGUGUAGGGUGCAAUCCGUAGAUACUUAGAGGAACACCAAAAGCGAAGGCAGCUUACUGGAACUAUAUUGACGCUGAUAAACGAAAGCGUGGGGAGCGAAAAGG